ACGGGAGAAAGCAGGGGAUCUUCGGACCUUGCGCUAAUAGAUGAGCCUAAGUCGGAUUAGCUAGUUGGUGGGGUAAAGGCCUACCAAGGCGACGAUCUGUAGCGGGUCUGAGAGGAUGAUCCGCCACACUGGGACUGAGACACGGCCCAGACUCCUACGGGAGGCAGCAGUGGGGAAUAUUGGACAAUGGGGGGAACCCUGAUCCAGCCAUGCCGCGUGUGUGAAGAAGGCCUUAUGGUUGUAAAGCACUUUAAGCGAGGAGGAGGCUACUUUAGUUAAUACCUAGAGAUAGUGGACGUUACUCGCAGAAUAAGCACCGGCUAACUCUGUGCCAGCAGCCGCGGUAAUACAGAGGGUGCGAGCGUUAAUCGGAUUUACUGGGCGUAAAG
rnacentral:rRNA from 1 species